GUCAACUAUGAUAUGAAAUAAAUUUAAUAUGCAUUGAUGUCUUACAGAAUCACUUUUAUGAGUUAAAUACCAUGCAAAUUACUAAAGAAUUCUGUGUAUCUGUGGAUGAUUCAAAUGAAAAUAUUUGUUUACCUGUGAAAGGAAAAUAUGUAUCACAUAAAAUAUAAAGAUUUAAUGUUAUAAACAUUGUAUGUAUAAUCAAUAUAUUUUGCCCAUCACACUUUUAUUACAAAAUCAGAAUUUAUAAACCAUAUUCAUUUCCUUAAAAAAUGGCUUUAAAAAGCACCUGGAAAUUUUUUAGGCACAAGAUUUAUUUUAAAAACAUACAAUUUGUUCCUAAUCUGCAGAAAGAAGUUUCGUAAGAUUACUAAUCACUAGGAUUUGCUUUUUCUGUAGCAGCCACAGGAGAGGACGAUACAAUAGGUCUUCGGAAAAGGUCAGGCGGGACCCACUGUGUACUUGUUCUUUCUUUCAUUUUCAAGCUUCUCUCCCUUCCUAUGCCUUUGGAGUAACUUCUGCUCACCAGUGAAUAUAUUUUGUUCCAUGGGAUUUAUGAAAUUUCUAACCUUUCUUUGUGUUCUGCACUGCCUUGUCCAUUUCAUCAUCACCUUCCUGUCAUUUACCACCUUGAAGCAGAUUCUUUACUAUUGAGCCACCAGGGAAACCAUAAAUAAACAAAAAAACAACUUAGCUCAGCAAAGCACAUUAUAGCAAAGUGAUCUGUUAUUAUAUAGCGUGACUAAAAAUGGGCAAUCAUGAAAAACAUUCUUUUAAAAUAUAAAUUAUUAUUUGAAUGCUUACAGCCUUUAAACUUUCAAAGAAAUUAUCUUCAGUUAUACCAUGUACAGUUGAUAUGAGGAGUUCAAGAAAUAGUAAUGGAUAUAGAGACUUCACACAAUGUAUUGUUUUUCAGUCACUAAGUCCCUACUCUUUGCAGCCCCCUGGACCGCAGCACACCAGGCCUCCUUGUUCAUCACCAACUCCCGGAGUUCACUCAAACUCAUGUCCAUUGAGUCGGUGAUGCCAUCCAGCCAUCUCAUCCUCUGCCGUCCCCUUCUCCUGCCUUCAAUCUUUCCCAACAUCAGGGUCUUUUCCAAUGAAUCAGCUCUUCGUACCACACAGUGUAUACAGCACAAGGUGGCCUUCUCAUCCUCCUCCUAUCCACCCACCUCACCAUGGGUCUGCAUCCUGAAUGAACGUGUUCCUCAAAGACAGUAACUCCCACACACCAAGCGGUAUCUAGCUGUGUGGGUGAGAUAUUCUCCAGCCUCUCCAAAGCUGUGUAGGUAAGUCUGGCUGAAGUCACUGCCGCCAUCAUCUGGGGUGUGCUGUUUGUUCCUACAGGAGGUUCUCCAUCCUCGCUAAGUCACCUGUGUUGGCAACACUUCUUGCCUGGGAUGAACCUCCGUUGGGCCUCACAUAGCAGAUCCUGCACCACUCAUCGCUUCAGGCAGUAGACAGUGUGGGCUGGGUCCUGCCGUGAGCUACAGCCACAGCUUCCUCCUCCUGAGGGUCGGUGAGAAGCCUGACCUCAUGUCAUGGGGGGAAAACAGUCUAAAAACCCUGGGUCUUUUUAGGUUCUGUGUGACUCCACUCCAUGGACCCGCUCUGGUUUGUGAGACUGUCUCAGUUAAAAGAUUAGUAGCUAUGGUUUCUAUUUAGGAACGCAGUCUACCAUGUGAUGUGAUGUCCAUCCUUCCCUCAAGCAAGCCAAAAGGAAAAAAAUGGUGCAGCUGUUCUUAAGUUCUCAGAAAUUCUAGGAUUGAGCAAUGCCCUUCAUGGAUUGGCUGACCAACAGGAUAUGGGAAUUUAGGAAAGCUGCAGAUGAGGAAUCUUUCAUAAACAAACAAACAAACAAAAAACGGAACUUGAACUACUGGGAGUGAUGGUAUGGAUGAGAAAGAAUGUAGUCAUUUCAUCCUUGACCAAGAUGGUAACAUCCUCUCUCAAUAAAGGAUUAUAGGCAAUGGAUUAACCA
ensembl:lncRNA